AUGUAAUGUGAUAUUAUCAGCCGGUGUCAGUUGUUCGGUGUUCGUGAAUUAGGUACAAGGAAGUGGAUACCCGGUUUAACGGGAAAACAUUACUACUUUACUAGUAGUCAGCGUAUGAAAACGUAUUUAUAUUAGGUAUCUAUUAGUAAAUAAAAUAAGCAACUUGCUGUUUAGACUCAAUAUUAUAAAUGGUAGUAAGAGGAAGCAGCUUCUGUUUCAAGAUUUUCCGUAACUUCAAAUUGAAAUUAUAUUCUGCUUGAGCAGAGUGUUCAGUAAUUGAGCCAUUACGAUUGUGCAAGGGUUGUCCCCUUGAAUACACCAGAGACGAGCUCAGUGGAACAAUACGUGGAUUAGAGAUUGGACGAAACUGUCUUCCAGUACCUUAAAGACGGGUUUUUAAAUACCUGUUCAUAAAGCUAUCUGCAGUUUUUUUGUUUAUUUAGUUCAUCAAUAUUUUGAUAAAGACUGGAAAUAGUCGAAAUGUCAAUAGUUAUUUUCCUAACAAGUGCGGAAAGUGAUACUUUCCCGCACGCGACCGCAGUUGACCCGAACGACGCGGAGCGGAGUUCGGGCAAGCGGUCAAGUGCGGAAAGACACUUUACGCAUGAGUUAGGAACAUUAUUUUUUCUACGGCCGUAUAUACAAGGACCCAUUUUUAAAAAAUUAUUUUAUUCCAACAAACAUAAUAAUAUACAAAACUUUAACUGAAAACUACUAAUUAUUAUAAAUAUUAAUAUUGAAAACACAAUUUGUUGCAUUCUGUAGACUAGUAAGAAUUGCCAGUCCAGAGGAGUUAUUUGGUUUAAUGUGGUUUUAUUUGGAAGAAGAUUGUACUUAUUAGGUCACUUCCAAGACGUUUUGAACAACUUUCGCGUUUUACACAAUUACACGCCUGGGUUGUCAUAGCAACUGAUAUCAAACCCGGGUGGUUUGAUAGUUGUUUUGUGACACUCCUUUGAAGAAUGUACAAGGUUAUAUAAAAAAUAUCUUUAUUAUUUUAUAUUUUCAAAAAAUUAAAGAUGCUACAGAAAGCUAGAAAAGGUUUAAAUUUUAUUUGAUGGACUAUUUCGUAAAUAUUUAUUUACCUGUAGUAACAAUAGUGCGGGAAAGUGACACUUUCAAAACUAAAAUGCGUGCGGGAAAGUGGGUUAAAACGCACGGUCGUAGAAAAAAUUUUUAUCUGUCUUUCAAAAAUUAUUUAAAAAACCUAAUUUUAUAACAGAAGAGACCUAAAAGAUGAUUUGAAAACAUAAACAUAUGAAAGGGCCUAGCAAUAAGAAAUUAUAUAAAUUUAUAUAUAGAUGUAUGAAAUCUAGAAAUUGUAUAUAAAUACUGGGAAAUUUAUAUAAUUCCGAAGUUAUUUAGGAAAUGUAUAAAAUAUUGUUUCUAAAACUAUUUAAUACAUAAAUAAUCUAGAAAAUGUGCACAAUUCGUAGGAAUUGUAUAUAAUUCCAAUAUCAUAUUAGGAAAUGUAUAAAAAUAAUGCUUUCUGUAAUAGAACGUGUCCAAUGAAACGAUCUUCUUUUGGUAGAACAAGAAGCUGUUUACACACCUUUACUCGAGGUUUCUCUUGAUUCUCAAUUAAUUCGUGAGGAUCUAUUGAACAAUUUUAAGAGUAAUAGAAAUUACCUAUAAUUUUGAAUGACGAUUUAUGAUAUCAUGAGAAGGUCGAAGGGAAUCUGAUAAUCGGCGAGUGCUAGUACUAACUUGGUUUUUUACUGCUUCCCUUGUAACCUCAAUAUUUCACGCAGGUGGACCAUCUGAGCGCGAACGAUUUUCAAUCGUCAAUCCUCUACUAUAGAACGAUUAAACCAACGCUGUUCCGUACGCUCAUUAACUGUGUCUCCCUCUUCAAUUUCAUAUAAUCGUAUUUUUCUUGCUGUCACUAUUGCUUUAAAUUUUUUGUUUUCAAUUAUGUAUUAGCAAUAGACGAAUUCCAUAUUCAUCACACUCCAUACUAUUUAUUAUAGAAACGUACUGCGUCGUCAAUAAACAGAAGAAACGAUUAAAAGAAAGUAAAGAAACCGUAUUCUUAAUAGAAUAAAGAGUAGUCUUAACAAGUUCCAUAUUUGGAUACCCGUGCUUCAGCGCGCGUGGGAACACAUAUAGGUCAGUGACAGUGUCAAUCAAGAAAUUAUCAACCGCCUUGUACGUUCCCGAGAACUUGCACGGUGAUCGGCACUUUCUCACUUUCACUUCUCACUAUUUUUGAAGUUGUACCAGCAGAUAUUCUUCCAGUAUUCCAGUAUCUUAAAGACAGGACUUUAGAUACCUGUUCAUAAAGCUAUCUGCAGCUCUUUUGUCCAUUUAGUUCAACAAUAUUUUGAUAAAGACUGGAAAUAGUCGAAACGUCAAAAUUUUUAUCUGUCUUUCAAAAAUUAUUUAAAAAACCUAAUUUUAUAACAGAAGAGACCUAAAAGACGAUUUUAAAACAUAAACAUAUGAAAGGGCUUAGCAAUACGAAAUUAUAUAAAGUUAUAUAUUUAGAUGUAUAUAUGUUACCGGAAACGUAUGAAAUCUAGGAAUUGUAUAUAAUUCCAAUAUCUUAUUAGGAAAUGUAUAAAAAUAAUGCUUUCUGUAAUAAAAUACGUUGUUAGCAUGAGAAUAAUAACUUUUAAUAAAGUACUCGUUGAGAUAACAACGUUCAGGUAACAGUCAUAUCGUAAAAUAUAAUAAUCUUCCUAUUAUCUUACUAAUUAAAGCUUCGAAAAUCAAGUAUCUACGAACUUUUAAAAUGUAUUUAUCACAAAAUCGACUUAUAUUAUUCUUAUAAAGUCAAACUUUCGUUUGGUAAGUAAUCAGUCUGUUAAUUAAGUAAUUAUAAAUGUCACAAUAUUAAAGUAAGUCUUUAUAUUAUUAUAUUAUGUUAAAUGUAAACGAGUCAGUCCAUAUGGCUAUUUAUUUUUGCAGGGUAAGCCGGAACGGCACUUGGAAGUACACAAUAAUUUAUUUUAUAGCAGACAUCUUGCUGUAGGUAUGCUCCCCCCGCAUACCCAUUGAUAUCUCAAAUAUUUACAUUUCCUAUUGCUAUUUAGACAAUGUAUAGAUUUCCUAGGAAAUGUGUCUAAUAUAAUUUAUUUUACACAUUUCCGUGUAAUUUUAGGAAUUACAUACGUUUCCUAGGAAUUGUAUACAAUGACGGAUUACAUACAUUUCUGGCUAGACAUCUAACGUUGUCUUUUUAACUGCUCUGAAUUAUAAAUUAUAAAAUGUUUCACCUUCAUUUAUAUGGUCUCUAGACGGAGAAGAUGAAGUUUUUCCAAAAAAAUUUUUCUUAUAAUAUGAAUCUCUAGGACAGAUACCACCUAAAAUUAUUUUUAAUCACACGAGGUGUUAAAAAGAAGUUAAACAAAUCAAACGUACGAUUUUUUUAAUGAAACGACCUAAAUUUGAUCACAUUGUUGAAUUUCACAUGGCUAAUUAAGUCAAAUGUGAAUGAGCUUUUGCCGUUAUUCAGAUAUUCCAUUUUUUUGCAAGAAAUAAAGGCGUAGAAUUCAAGAAACACACAGCUUAUUCUUUUAUUACUGAAUUGUUUUAUACAUAUUAUGUAACUGCUGUAUGAAGAAUGUUAUGGGUUUUAGAGGGUACUUUGGAGGGAUGUUUUAUAAACGUUUAUUCUACCUGAUUCCCAAGCUUCCAUAAAACAGCUUCAAAGAAAACGUUGCCAUUUAAUAGGUCCACAAGUACCGUUGUUCCCAUCGAUUAUACACAGAAACUGCUUUCUGUUUUAGAGAUCUAUAAGAAGUUUUAUAUCGUCUAUACAACUAUUUUUAUAACCUUCGAUUAAGAUUUGAUGAGAAUAGAUGUAUUAACUUAGUUAUUGUAGUUUGCUGAUAUAUAAUUUCAGCUUUAUUGUAUCUGUAGUGUAAAUCUUCAUCUAUUUAUUCUAGAUGACAUUUUCCAUUCUCUUUCUAAAUCAAUUCAUACUCCGAACUGAGAAAAUUACUCAGAAUAACAUAAUAAUUAGCUCGCAUUAAAUUGUUCACGUUAUCGAAGGGUUAUUUAGAGGUAGAGAACAAAACUCAUACGUAACUAGAUUCUUUCACUGUAAAGUAAUUCUGAAUGAAGGUAUAAGUAACAAUUUUAUUGAUUUUCAUAUUAUUUUCACGAUAUUUUUUUACUUGUUCAGAACUAGUCCAUUUUGAGGAAAUUUGUCAUUGAUGUUGAUGAAAGUCAUUAACGAAAUUAAAAUGUUUUUUUAAGAAUUACAUGAAUAGUUGAAUUUGCUUACAUUCAAUGGGGGGGUCGUCUUUUUUGGGAUUAUACAGGUUUCACAGUAAAGUGUAUUUUGUUGAUAAAUUUUUGGUGACAGAAUUAUCUUUAAUAAAGCUUCAUGAUUAAUAAUAUUCAUUCUACAGUCGCCAUGAGGAGCCUGAUCGAAAAAAAUUCUCGAAUAAUAUAUUAUUCACUUAACAUGCAUCUUAUAGAGCUUUUAAACGGUACAACUAUCUCUAAUUAUAAGUAAAAAGCAAAAAAAUGGAAUUCUUCAAUAUUAUAAUAUAACUAUUGAGUUGACUGGAACUGGACCUGGAAUUCUUUUGAUCUUUUUUUUACAUCACUUUUUAUAGCAAGGGUAUAGUGUUUAAAUAAAUUAAAACGUAAGAGUAAGUGUCUACUAAUUUACCCCACGAUUAUAAAUCUUAUAAAUAAAUAAGAAAAACAUUAUAAUAGUUAUAUAUUUGUUGUAUAAUAGCUAGAAAAGUUUUUUUUGUGAAUGUUUGACCACCUCAAUAAAACGAUGGAAUAAAAUCGUCCUAUUUAAAUAA